UACGAAGGGGGCUAGCGUUGCUCGGAAUCACUGGGCGUAAAGCGCACGUAGGCGGACUCUUAAGUCGGUGGUGAAAUCCUGGAGCUCAACUCCGGAACUGCCUUCGAUACUGCGGGUCUCGAGUCCGGGAGAGGUGAGUGGAAUUCCUAGUGUAGAGGUGAAAUUCGUAGAUAUUAGGAAGAACACCAGUGGCGAAGGCGGCUCACUGGCCCGGUACUGACGCUGAGGCGCGAAAGCGUGGGGAGCAAACAGG
rnacentral:rRNA from 1 species